rnacentral:rRNA from 1 species
GGGGAAUAUUGCACAAUGGGCGAAAGCCUGAUGCAGCAACGCCGCGUGAGGGAAGACGGUUUUCGGAUUGUAAACCUCUGUUUUCGGUGACGAACAAAUGACGGUAACCGAGUAGGAAGCCACGGCUAACUACGUGCCAGCAGCCGCGGUAAUACGUAGGUGGCAAGCGUUAUCCGGAAUUACUGGGUGUAAAGGGAGCGCAGGCGGGAUAGCAAGUCAGCUGUGAAAACUAUGGGCUCAACCCAUAAACUGCAGUUGAAACUGUUAUUCUUGAGUGGAGUAGAGGCAAGCGGAAUUCCGAGUGUAGCGGUGAAAUGCGUAGAUAUUCGGAGGAACACCAGUGGCGAAGGCGGCUUGCUGGGCUCUAACUGACGCUGAGGCUCGAAAGUGUGGGGAGCAAACAGGAUUAGAUACCCUGGUAGUCCACACUGUAAACGAUGAUUGCUAGGUGUGGGGGGUCUGAC